AACCUUCUGAAUCCGUGCCGCCAUUUCGUCAGGCACCAGACCAUCAGUACAGAUUAGAUUCCCAAAAUAAGUGAAGUC
rfam:Schistosoma haematobium scaffold283_4, whole genome shotgun sequence.